CAAGCCGCAGGAGUGAGCGAGGCUAGAGUGAGCGAGCGUUUCUUUUGGAUGUAGCCCGUUUUUUGGGCUCCCGGCGUUCUCUUGUGUUCCGUCUGCAUUUCGACACGGCACCGCUGCACUACUGGACUACAGCAAGCUGAUGGCAUCCGGUGGAGCUUGGUACGGCAACGACUACUGCUUACCUGGUGCCACAACUUUGGAUGAAUGCAGAAGAAGCCCGGAACGAGUAUUUAUAUAGAGCAAAAUAAACAUUUCAUCAUUUCAGAA
rnacentral:lncRNA from 1 species